UGGCGGACGGGUGAGUAACGCGUGGGUAACCGUGCCUCAUACAGGGGGAUAACAGUUGGAAAUGGCUGCUAAUACCGCAUAAGCGCACAGUACCGCAUGGUACGGUGUGAAAAACUACCGGUGGUAUGAGAUGGACCCGCGUCUGAUUAGGUAGUUGGUGGGGUAACGGGCCUACCAAGCCGACGAUCAGUAGCCGACCUGAGAGGGUGACCGGCCACAUUGGGACUGAGAUACGGCCCAA
rnacentral:rRNA from 1 species